rnacentral:misc_RNA from 1 species
AACCUUAUGGACCUGCGGGCGUAUACCUGCGGAAGGAUCAUUAUCGAGUUGCAAAACUCCAACCCUUUGUGAACAUACCUCAGUCGUUGCUUCGGCGGUGGACGGCCUGUUUUUCGGAACGGCCGGAAGCCGCCGGAGGUUCCAAACUCGUAUUUUUUAGUGUAUCUCUGAGCCUGAAAACAAAUAAUCAAAACUUUCAACAAUGGAUCU